rnacentral:ncRNA from 1 species
UGAUAGCAAUGAAGCGCGAGGUUGCUGCUUGAAAAAGCAGGUUUUCCGUGGAGCGAAUGUCAAGUUAGAAAACUGACGACAA